rnacentral:hammerhead_ribozyme from 1 species
AUUUGCUUGACGAGUCCCAAAUAGGAUGAAACGCGCAUCUUGGAU